UUCUUAUUCAGAGCGGUGGAGAUACAAGGAUCUGUGAAGCCCGGCAACCCCGAUAGGAAGGUGCCAACCUGAGCGAGAUAUACUGCAGCAGCAGUUCGAACAAUAAGAG
rnacentral:ncRNA from 2 species